CGGAAUGUGCUGCCGAUAGGUGGAUCGCACGUGAACACGCAAAGGGACGCCAUUGCUGUGGCCUCCGAUUCAACUAUUAGCUCUGCAUUUAUCGCCAAAAAUGCUUUAUUUCUCGUAAAUUUAAGCUCACGAACUUCGGUGAACCAUGGAGAAAUAAAACACAUGGGUGACCAUCCUAAGCGUACUUUAUGAGGAAAAGUGUGCCAUUGGAGCUUGUCUUCGCCAUCUCUUCGCUGAUGUACAUUCUUCUUGAAGAAACUGUCGUGUAUGCAGCCAUCACCUCAGUGAUACACAGUUUGAUUUCCAGUUGAAUGGCCUUCAGUUGAAAGGAUGUACAUUCUUCUUGAAGAAACUGUCGUGUGUGCAGCCAUCACCUCAGUGAUACACAGUUUGAUUUCCAGUUGAAUGGCCUGAUCAAGUAAAGGGUGAGUUUAACUUUCUUUGUUAUUUGCUCCAUCAAAACCAGACAAAGCUCGUGCCAGAAAUUCUUGAAUUUUGUGAAAAUUACCAUUGUUGUAAGGAAGAGUGCCCAUUUUAUAGAUGUUUUAUGCUUUGAACACAUUAUUGCAGAUACUGAAUUUACAUCUACAUGACUUUGAAAAGUUAUGCACCAUAUCUCUAAGUUACAGUACAUGAAUAAUGCACAGUACAAAGGAUGUGCAUGUACGAAUUCACAUGCUGAUGAAACACCCAAAAUAUGGGGAUCAAUCGGCAUUAUCUGAUCUGAAGACAGAUGUGUUCAGUCUUGCACACUGCUGUUUAAGAAAUGCAGUCUGGUUUGUUUGUCACAACUAGUACCAGCAUACUGAAUUUGUUGUGAGAAUGUGCAAUCGUCAAGUCAAAAGAAUAUUUCUAGUCUGGCAAGCAUGGUUUUGAUGGAGCUAAUUCCUGUGAAUAAAAAAAUCAUGGUCUCUGUUUACCAAACCAAAAAUGGGUCUUCUACUAACAAUCCUGAACUUUUGUGCUCUAUUUUUGAAGUAGAAAAUUAGAGCUUUUUUAGUCUUUCAUCCAAGUUUUCAUUACUAUGAUAGUUGUAUUAGAGCUUAAACAACCCCUAAAACUGUAAAAGUUUUGAGACAGUUUAAAAUGCAUAAAUUAUGUUUUGAGAAUAUGCAUAUGUGUAAGAAUUAUUUCUAGAAAGAAUGCAAAAUUUAGUGAAUGCUAAAAGGUUCUAAAAUGUUUUCACGAGAGAAUUACUCCUUGUUUUUCAUACAAAAAAUUUGGGGAACAACUGACCGUUGACAUGGUUACAUAUGUUUGUUUCUUUCCAUUUUUUUUCUGUGUGAUAACUACACCGGAUAGUAUACUUAAACAUGGCUAUUAUAUUGAAAGUGCUGCACCAGAUCACUGUAGGUGUGGAACUUCAGAUAAAAGCUCUGUUGCCAUCUCAAUGGAUGGAGAACAAAACUGUACAGUACUACAUUGAGUCAAAAUUCAUAUUUUGUGGCAGUUUGUACAUUUUGUCAAUCCUUUCUCUGGUUUUAUACAAAUGCUCAAAUCUGACUGUGAUCCAGUUGAGGUAAACUAUUUGUUGCUGUGGAUUCUGUUAGCCUCAGUCUUUAUGCAGUUCAUGAUUCUAGUCUAAUGUUUCUGCCCAAAGCUGAAGUAUUGAGCAUCAGAAUUGGGCUGUUUUAACCACUGCAUGUUGUACAUGUGGAACAUGUAAAUACGAUCUUGUCUGCAUGUGCACAGCUGACAUGUUCAACUGCCAAGCGUACCUCGACUCGCCUCUUGAUGAUGUUUGAACACACUUGUCCCUGAUUUGUUUCAUACAUGUACGCAAAGUCCAUGGAAAGGCACUGUGUUUUGAAUUUAGCUGCUUUGCAUGGCUUCGGUCUUCUCGCAUAUACAUGCACUGUUUGUAGAUGCACCCUGGGAUACAUGUCACAAAGAUGAAAGACUGCGGGAAAAUCACACAAAUACUAUUCAAAUUACUCUAACCAGUAUUUCUCUGCAUAUGGCUAAGGCAUUGAAAGUUGGCUGCUCUCCUUGCUCUUUUUAGAAGUUUAAAUAUGGAUUAAAAACAAUGUUCAUCUCCAUGAUCAGAAAUUUCCCCAAAAGCUUCAAAUAAUUUAAGAAACUACCUGAAAGAGCAUCCGUUUUUUUCAAUAAGUGCCCCACAUUUUUAAAAUAGAACAUCCCACGUGUCUGGGGGUACUAGACUAUGAUGUCCAUUCUAGCUUGGUAAGACAAAAUAUUUGUAAUUUUCUUUUUUCAUAAAAUGUGGGAUACAUCACAAUUGUCUUUAGAAACAGAAAAGAAAUGUCCCUUUUCUUCGGAGUGCACUGGAGGUAAGGACUAACUGGAGAGAAAGUCCAUUUUUGAUACACACAAAACUUUGAUCUUUCUUUGGUCAAAGUUUUUUUCAAGUAACCUGAUUUUUACAGAGUUUGGGCCACAUGACCUGUAUGUAGGCCUUUGUUAAUUAAAGUGCAUGCAAUGAAACAGUGGUAGUGUGGGCUGCAGUCAGCAUGUGGUAUGCAACCACAACAUUAAUCGCUCAAGCAAUGCAGUUGUCUCACGCUAAUCUUAUUUGCCCGAAACCUGUAGCAAAGAAAAGAAGUCAAAAAGGGUUCAGUUCAAGAAAGUUCUUGUGUAUUACUACAACUAUGGGGGGUACUUGGGGUCCAAUCAUUCCACCUUUCAAGGCACUAGUUACCAUUACUUUAGUGAAUGGAUAUCCGCUUUUGAAAUAAAAAAUUCAAAUCCACAAUUUUAACCACUUGACGCCAAAUGACGUGUAAACACAUAAUUUCCCAUAUUUUUUCCACGGAGGAUGUUUGCAGUCAUUUAAGAAUUCUUUUUUCAUUUCCGUGGUUGACAUAUUAACGCGUUGAAGUGCAGUUGCAAGGUUGAAAAAUUUGCGGGUAAAAUAACUUGUCCCAGCACCAUUUAAGCAAAUCCGACGUUAAUUGGUUAAGUGCAAAGGUUUCACACCGGAUGUAAAACUUCAGUUCUUUUCCACAAGAAGUACAUGAAAUUGCUUCCUCUUCUUUGAUCAUGAAUUCUACCUUGUUGCCAUGUAUUCCAAAUUGAGAAUUUUAGCCAAGUUGUGAAGGCAAUAAUGUCAGCGCUCAGAUUUGUGCUUUUGAUGGUGCAUACUGUCUAUUCAGUCCAACUGUUGAAUUAAAAUUAAUCAACCCCUGGUUGAUAACUUUUCGAAACAGUGGAUUCCAUUAUUAUUUUGGGCUUUUAAUUCCUUUUUCAGCAAAUACUUGUUUCUGAGUUACUCAGGGUAACAUUUUGUAAGUCCCAAAAUGCAACAGAGAAUUGACCAGGUAAGUACAGUCCCCUUUGAGGACAAGCUUAAACAUAGGUCCACAUAAUUUUGGAAUCCACUGUAGAAACCUGUAUGUAGUAGAAAAAUCCUUGCGGAUUUAUAUUAACAAAAGUAAUGACACGUGUUUACUUACAGUAAAAUUAUCACGAAAAAACACUUCCCACCUAAAUUUUUAAAUAGAUACUCAGUUUUCAAAAAAAUACUUAGGUUUACUGAGUAUGUUUUGACAUUCUCAAUAUCUGUAUAGAACAAUUUGAAAUCCACACUGAAGAACUCUGCUGUUGUAUUGAUGAGUGAUAUGGAUUGCGGUAGUAUAAAAACAUUGACAAAUAUUAUCUUGGAUUUCUAUAGUUAGCUAAUGAUUAUGAUCCUAUUUCUUUGCUUCACCUAACAGUUCUGAAUCCUCCAAUUUCCAUGUAAUUAGUCAUAUAUUGUGAUUGUGCUAAAAAAGGAUUAACCUAAUCCUGCUUAAAUAACAUGGAGUGUAAAUUGCACAUAAAUCUUGUCGGAUUUGGCAAUGCCAAGGGUUAAAUUAACUUAUUUCAGGAAAUAAUUGGCACAAAAAAUCCAAAGGUUAAAAUUUUUUCCAUGUUAAAAUGUCAGUUGAAAUGUCAUUACUUUUACAGUGAUUUAAAAUUGGACACAACUGUGCAAAAAUUGAAGUUUUGCUGAUGGUUUAAUUUUAAUAUUUUCUGUAACAGUCUGGCUUUUCAACUGCAUAAGUGCAUCAAGAAUUGAUGAUUUUCACAGGAAUACUCAGUGGAUAAUUGUACCCAAAAUCUUUUGUUAAGAUCUGUAACUGAAUAUGCAAUGUGUGAAAUUUUGAACAGACAAGAAAUACAGUUCUCACACAUGUUGGAGCAUGACAAACUAGGACACAACUUGUAAAUUCCCCCCAAAAUUCGGCACUUUUCAAGGACUGUUUAUCUUUUUGAUAGCAACCUCUAUACAUUUAAAUGUAUGCUACAUUCCUUACCAAUCAGUACAAAUUAGUGUAAACCUUCUAAUGUGUGAGAAAGAGAAACAUUGGAGGAUUUAGAACUGUAAGUGUUCAGUGUAUGCACCAAAUGUCUUAUUCAGGGGAAUUUUGUAUGUGUAUUUUCAGCAACAGUCAACUGUUGAAGAAUAACAACUUUUGAGGAAUUCAAGUUAAAAGUGCACCGAGCAGGAAAUAAAGUUCAAUUCAUGGUAUUAAGUAACAAAAUAUUUGGGGGAAGGGAUGGGGUGUAAAAAUGCACUUCGAAAUUUUACUUUUAUUUACUCUACAUGGCUUUUACUGAAUUUCUUUAUGCAAACUGCAUAUAAAAAAAAGUAAUCAAAGAUAUUGAAAACAUGAUGCCAAUAGCUGGAUGAAAGCUGCCUCGUGUUCUGAGGAGUUUAUAUUGUGAAGAUUCUCAAAAUUUUUAAGAAUGUCAAUACUAUUAAAAUAGAAUCUAUUAUAAGAGUGGCUUUCCCAUAUUUCCAAGGUGGAAAUUAACUUUCAAUAAUCAUGCAUUACAUUGCAAUUCAUCAAUCACUUUAAGUUAAUAUAAAUGUUAUGCUAUGCGUAACAUGUUUAUGCUUAAUUAUACAUCUUGAAAAUGUUUAUGCUUUACGUAGAUUAAAUUCACUGCAUAGAUUUCCUCAUUCUUUAAGAAUCCUUAUGUUUUGUCAUGACAUCCUAAACUUUAACCAUUCUGAAUCCAACAAAUAUGCAUGAUUUCAAUGGUCCCUAGGGGUUAGGGUUAAGAAUCCAGAUUUUCAGGAGUCUAAUUCCCCGCAGAGUAUGUCAAUUAUUAUGGAAUUCAGACCUAAGACUUUGAAACCAGUUGCGUUGACAUCAACUGCAAACUAUUGGAUGAAGUCCUCUUGAUUUGUCAGAAAAAGUUGCCUGUCCAGCUGUAAACUGUUGACUCUUGUUAGUGGUAACAUACCAGAAAUGUCAAUUAAGUGAAUGAAACCAAAUUAAGGAUGUCAUUGAACUUGGCGGUGUUUACAUUGAUCGAUGGAGGCGUGAAGGCAGGAUGGUCAGAGCUUGCAGGUCCUUUGCUCAUCCUAUUGCCUGUUCACAAGAGGCACUCAAGAUGUAUUGGGACAGCAUCUGAGGAAACUGAGUUCUAACAACCAUCAUUGGAAAAGGAGUCCUCAGAACUUUAACAUCUUUAGUCUUCCCUGUUGAUGAAAAAUGCUAAAUGUACAUGUGGUGAUGUCAAUUAUCUCCAAAUAAUCUCCAGUCUCCAAACUGGAGCCUUGUGACAGUUGUCACGGUGGUACAUGUAUGCCUACUCUCUGAUUGGAAACAUCUAUCAAUUCACAUGGAAAUCCCAUCAGCUUCAGCAAAUGCGGACUGGUGAUAGUUCAUCAAAUUGACAUCACUCAACAAAGUGGAGAACGGAGACUCUUGAAGUUCAUCAAGACAUAAUGGCAUCUCCUUUCCAGUAGAAAACUGGAACGUAAAAGGCCAUUACUGUGAAACCUCCCAUCCAGUAGCCAAUGGAAACCUGUGAUAAUUCAUCACAGAAAUGUCUCCACCUAGUAAAUGGAGACGUAGACAAUUCAUCACAUUGGUGUCUGUGAAAUCAGUAGCAAAUGGAGAACUCAUAAUGACACCAGUCCACCUGCCAGCAAACGAGGAAGUGCAUUCUGUCACAGUGAUAUCUCUCCACCUACAGCAAACAGCAAUGUCUGAGAGGGUAUCAUAUUGACAUUGGUCCUCCUGCAGCAAAUGGACACCUGUGGACAGUUCAUCACAGUGACAAUUCUCCAUCCAGUAGCAAGUGGACACAUGCAUUUUCAAAGUGAAAUCUCUCCGACCACAGGCAAUUAAUGGAAUGCCAACGGAUAAUCACAAUGAUGUCUGUCCACCAAGACCUGUAAUAGAUCACCACAGUAACAUCUCUCCACGUGGCAGCAAAGGCAGUUACCAUGCAAUUUUGAUGAUGACUCUCCAACCAUUAGGAAAUGAAGACCUAUGAAGUUUUGUUUCCUGAACUGCAUGAUUGGAGACAUUGGAUAAGUUCAUAAUUAAGUGGAGAUCAAAGAGGCAGCUCACCUUAAAAAUGACCGUCCCUCCAAAUACUUGAUACAUAAAACUCAAGAUAAGUAAAAAUCCAUCACAAUAAAAAUCAUCCUCUCCUGGAUAUGUUGCUGUUUUGGUUGCAGUCCAUAAGAAUAAUUCUCUGCCUUAGAAUAUGACUCCUGAAAAUAUGGUUUCUCUUAAGGCCACUUUAAACUCCAGUAAAAAUGUAGUUAAUUUGAAUUACUUUGAAAGUCCAAGGGUGAAGAAACUGAUUUUUUUUACCCGUUGUACGGGGUCAAUUGGGUUGGGUGCCAUAGCACAGCGAGGCUAAAACAGAUUAUGUGGUUUCUUAGAGAUUGACAUUGUAUCUUUACAUGGGGGAAUUGGGGUAGGGUUAUACUUUAUUUUUCGUUUGGUCUGGGAUGGGGUGGUACAUUUAGAUUUGUUGAGGCAAUAUGUGCUGGAUCCUUGGAAUGACCCAACAUCAGGGUGUCACUUGGCUGUUACACAGGUGGCUGGUGUUGACAGCAUGUCUCUACCUUUGUAGUAAAUGGAAGCUUUAACAAGAUGAAGUGUGAGGGUGAAAUGUUUCUACCCAUGGGGAAAAAUAAUCCACAGCAGUGUGGGAGGGGGGGGUAGGGUAGAUUGAGGAUUUAAUUCUGUGAAAUGCAUUUGAUCCUUGGAAUGGCCCAACAUCAGGGUGUCAGUUGGGUACAAUAUACCCGGCUGGCGGUGACAGUGCAUCUUCAUUUACCAGAUGUGGACUCUGAAUGUUGGUAUUAGAGGGGAUCAUUUAAAAAUGUCUAAGUGCAGUCUUAAUACUUUACAUUUAUUUUCUUUCAAUAUAGAAGUACUACUGCAGAUAAUGGAUGAUCCUGUGUAUUGGAUGAGCUAUUUAUGCUGUAAAAAUCAUAUUGAACUGGACAUGUACCAUUUCUGAGAGACUGCUAAAAAAGAAUUUGGCAUGAUUUUUAACAGUUCUUUUUAAAGGCUAAAAACAGUAACUCUUGAAUUCCUACCCAGUUCAGUGUGAAUUUUUUAAUGUGGGACUUUUUUAUGAUUUGUUGGAGCAUGAAUUGGAACUGAAUGGUGAUCUCAUUUUCCUUGAUAUGUGCUCUUUUCAUAAUUAUACUUUGUCAUCAAUUUAACUUGCAAAGAGGAACCUUCUUUCAAAAUGCAAUGUCAAAUGAUUGCUUCCUUGAGAGGAGAUUUCAGCAGCACAUGGAGUUGCCUAUAUUUGGCAUCAUAAAACACCAUUGUUAAAUUGAUCAUGUUCAUUUUUUGCUUUUAAAACCAACCACAAGUGAUCACAAUUCAUGUCUAAUGAUGGCUCCUUUUACAGUAAUGAAGACAGUUGGACUGAAUAAUACGAAGAAGAUCAAGACGGUUCUUUAAUCUUUCACAACUGAUUUAUUUCCCAAACUACGUGAACAGUAGUGUCUCUACUAACACGUUCCCUUUUGGCAGUAUAAAGCAGAACUUAUGGUCAGUAGUGCAUGACUGUGAAGUUUGAUUUGGCAACAGUGUUCUUACUUCAGUGACUGGCAUUAAAAAAGGUUUCAGUGGCAAACACGUAGCCCUGGUUUUGCUUGACUAUUCCACAAUUUAUUUUAACUCGCAAAAUUAAGCUGUGCAGUUACACAAAAGAUAAUAGUCAGUUUUGGAACAUCCUUCUAAAAAGUUAUUCAACAUUGCUGUUGGUAAAUUUUCACCAUCCUGGCUUUACAUUUCCAUUUGCUGCAGCCGAACUGCCGAACCGAACCAAAAAUCAUACGAAUUUGCUCGAAAUCUAAUUUGAUCUUUUAUCCCGUAAAGGAAGAAACUCCCAUUUGAAUAUGCUGGGUUUUUUUCUGUUUUCACAAAUCCUAUGAUCGUUUUUAGUCAGGUGUGGUACAGACACGACUGCUUUUGGUUGGCAAAAACACGGUCGGAAACUGUCACACCUCCAUCGGUAACUCUCUAUGGAAUUUGAACUCCUAAACAAACAUUUGGGGAAACAAUUUAGAAAAAAAAUAUGUUCACAACGAAGUUGCUAGUGGAUGGGGAUGGAAACAUUCAUUCAUUGCUUGUAUUAACAUAUUUGACACAAGGAAAUACUGUAUAAGGCACGUUCGUUCGUAGCAUGCUCUACGAUGUCUGAAUGUGCAUUACGUGUACGUGUCCAAACCCGAACCGAAGUUUGGCAACAAAUUUCCAAACCGUGUCCGAACCGAACCCGAACCAAACCUUUGUGCCUACUUCCAGCACUAGAUAUUGUGCUUAAAUUCUCAAGCCCAUUGCACUCUACCCCACUCUACCCAUCCUGGUAUGUUGUUGUACAGUAUACAUAUGCUCACACCAAAGAUGCAAAAAUUUAGUUGUGAAUUUCACUGUCUCAAUUUCGCAAUACUGUCCAGUCGCGAUUUCGCUCUUAAAUUUGUCAGCCCAUUGCGUUCCACCAUGUUGCACCCACCCUAGCUGUGCCACUGGAUAGUGUUUAUUUUCAUGACAAAAACUUGUAUUUGAAAGAUGUAUUUGCAAAAAUGACUCCAGUGACUCCCAGGAAAAAUCUCCAAAUGGUUUUGGUGAUGCAGUGGCCAACAUGUUUGUGGCCCUGCUAAUAGGAAUCUACUCAGGGUGUAAAAAAGUAAUGAGAGCACACACUCGUUUUCCUUUUGUCAUUAAUGUGCUGUGUAAAUUAAAAAAAGGCAUCACUUUUGCAAUCAAAUUACCUCAACCGGAUCAGCAGAAUUACACAAUUACACAAAGUUAUUAAUUGAUGGUAGCCAAUGGACGCUCAAAUGGGAUAGACUACACGUCCGGCAAGGCAGGGUACAGGAUCAGCAUAUUGCAUCUUUAAAAGAUCUGUGUAAUCCUAAACCAAAUUGGUUUCAUUGCAAAAAAAGUAGCAAUCCUAUUGAAGGCACGUGAUGCGUAAUCACAAAGUUCUUCUCUAAUCAGUUGCUCAAGCUGAUUGACAUGGCUCAAGCUGAUUGACAUGAGUCAAAUUUGAUAAUCACAGGGUGGCCACUAGCAUUAAGUAAAACUUGCAUGCAAAUAUUGUGUAGAUAACAACUGUAAGAGUGCACAAAUUAAAUGUCUCUCAAAUUUGCGCAAACUUGUCUCAGUUCUCACAAGUCGAAGCAUUUCUCAAUGUAUUUGGUGGCUACCCUAAUGAGUGAGAAGACAGAAAUUUAAACUGAUCCUGUGCCCUGUCUUUCACAAAUUAAAUGUAAUUUGAGAAACUAACAUGUCUUGUAUCUUCCUAUCCGCAUGUACCGUACAACCGAGGAAUCCAGUGAGAAGCUACUUCUGCAACCCUUGGCAAACUACAAGAACUACCGAUGGCUGUGUCCGUGAUGGUCAUGUCUGCAGAGCUCUUAUCAAGACUUGGCUAAACGAAACAAAAGGCAAAUCCAUGGCAAUGAGGAACUUGUUUACACAUGAACUAACGCUUUCAACAAGUUCAGACAAAAUGGCCAAGAAAACUUAAGCAAAGAAAUUUUAUUUACAUUUCAAACAAAACUCCAUUUCUUUGACAUUAACAAAAGAUUGGCCCAUUGUUUUUGUAAUUUGUUGAAUAUUUUGUGCAUGGUCCCCUUUUUCCACUCGAACCAAGUGUUCUGUCCUUGCCGUGGAUUUGCACAGACAAAUACCAAAACUAAAUUCACCUCAGACCAGGCAUAUGUUGAAAAUCAGAGACUUAAGAAUUUGCCUUCAACCAGUUCAGGCUAAAAGGAGUGUCAAUCUGCAAAACUGUUUCACCAAGUCUCAGCGGCAGUGGAUGCGUAUGCAUGUGCUAUGUAUCACAGGUGGCCAGUGGUGUUACACAUAAAAUCUCUGCUACAUCUACGGGGUCUAUGCCUCUGUAUGCUGCCUGGAGUCGCAGUAAAUAUCACAUCACAAAAGAUAAAGUGUGAACAGGCGUAAAUAUUUUUUCUUUGUAGAAAUGACUCUAGAAAGUUGCUUUUGGCAUUGGUCAGAAACAAUCUUGCACUGCUUGCUGUAAAAUUCAUGAAAUAACAACGUUAAGUUGUUAAAUUCCGAUAUUCAGUGUCUCUCCAUCUAACUGAACCCAUAUCAUCUGAAUAUUACUGAUUUAAAUUAAUGUCUAACACCCUGACAUCAGUUACUUUUGCAUUGGAAGUUCGAACUCUAGCUUCCUUGCUCCUAUCGUUUUUUUAAAACCGUUUAAAGGUGAUUUUAUCCUUACAAUUUAGCAACUUGAAUUUUAGCCUGAUCUGGUUAACCAGAAGGAAAAAAAGGGUCAGUGUAACCAAACAAUUUCAACAUGUGCCUGGUUCAGUUUCGUUAAGCUCGUAAGUUUUCAUAGAUUUUAAAAAUAGCAUUCUUAAUGCAUGUAUAAACUUUUGAAUAUGUACACCAGCACAUUGUACUGUACUUGAGUUCCGUGAAUGGCCGAUUGCAAGUGUGCUUGGAAUUUUUAUGACAUACGUCCAAAGUGGGUGAUUUACCUAUGACACUGUCAGUACAUUUUUUUAAAGAAUGGAAACGACCAGCAUGUUUUUUGUAUGCGAAUCAAUCUUUAAUUUCCUUUUACUGGUAUCUACAGAUCAGGCAUGCAACUUGGCCUUUGACAAGAAAUGAGGACAUUUCAAUCUUUACAAGACUUUGUAAAGUGUUUUUCAUUUUUCAGUGGCAUGAAUAAAAAGUGAAAAAUGAGGAAAUUAACUGAUCCGAGGAAAGUUGCAUGCCUGUUUAACACUGAAACAGUUAACCAAGUGAAAAACUUUGAAGUGCAUGUAAUAGAUUGAAUAUGAAUGACUUAGAUGCAUUUCAGAAACUCGUAUGAUGUGCUGGUGUACAUUUAUUGUCUGGAUUUUACUGAAUAAAGAAUACGGGUUGGGGGGGUGCGUGUUUUGUGUUAAAUACACCUGCUGUCUAUUUCGCUAUUGAGCUGCACAUGCCACUGAAUUUUUGGACAAGUUUUUGACUUUCAACAAAAAAAAAAGGAAAUUGGAGUAAAUAAGCAGGCGAUAUUUCAAUCCAAAAACUAGUGAGGCUGCUUGUAUUGAAAUAGACAGCAGGUGAUGUGUUGGGAGGGGGUCAAAAUGGAGUGUACGCGACAUUUAAGUUGGAGGUUAAAAAUCUUGGGGCUUUCGGAAUGGGAACCUAAAGACAUUUCUAAGUUGAUACAUGUUUAUAUGAAUUAUUUAUGUGAAUUUGGGAAAUGUGAAAUGGAAUAAAAAGAGCAGUUUUCACUUGCAAUUUGUUUCCUUUGUAUGGGUAAGUUUAUUUACAUUU